rnacentral:lncRNA from 10 species
GAGUCCUGGAAGCUGCAGUGUUGACUUAGCCACUGUCCUCAGCCCGGUGUAACUACACAGGGUCAAAAUGAGUCAGCAGGCACCCCAGGCCCUCAUCCAUUUUCCACAGUCUCCUGAAGGAAAUCUCUGGGCAGACGGGGAGGUAUCAAGGAGCUACCAGGGAGCUAGGCUGAAUUCUGGGUAAGGCAGGAACGUCCCCAAGGCAGGCAUCAAGCUACCAAUGACAUGUUUCACAGAACUAGAAAAAACUACUCUAAAAUUUAUGUGGAAGCAAAAAAGAGCCCAAAUAGCCAAAGCAAUCCUAAGCAAAAAGAACAAAGCUGGAGGUAUCACAUUACCUGACUUCAAACUAUACUACAAGGCUACAAUAACCAAAACAGCAUGGUACUGGUACAAAAACAGAUACAUAGACCAAUGGAACAGAAUAGAAAACCCAGAAAUAAAGCCACACACCUACAACAAUCUGAUUUUCAACAAAGUCAACAAAAAUAGGGAAUGGGAAAAGGACUCCCUAUUCAAUAAAUGGUACUAGGAUAGCAAGAACUUAACAUAGAGCUACCAUUUGACCCAGCAAUUUCAUUAUUGGGUGUAUACCCAAAGGAAUAGAAAUCAUUCUGCCAUAAAUACACAUGAAUGUGUAUGUUCAUCAUAGUGUAAAAAGUAAAGCAGAGGUUCCUCUUCAAAGACUUUCCUCCCCAUUUAAUUAGGAAAAAAUAGUAACUUCUCUUAGAAGCAAAAUUUAUUCAAAGACCUGUGCUAGCAGUCCUAAAUUAUUAUCCUAAGCAACUUAACACAGGAACAGAAAACCAAAUGCUGCAUGUUCUCAUAAGUGGAAGCUGAACAUUGAGUACACAUGGACACAAAUAAGGGAACAACAGACCCCAGGGCCUACUUGAGGGUGGAGAGUGGGAGUUACCUGUUGGGUGUUACGCUGAGUACUUGGGUGACAAAAUUAUCUGUAUACCAAACCCCUGCAACGUGCAGUUUACCCAUGUAACAAACCUGCACAUGUAUCCCUUGAACCUAAAAGUUGGAAAGUUUAAAAAAAGAAAAAAGG